rnacentral:rRNA from 1 species
GAUGAACGCUGGCGGCGUGCCUAAUACAUGCAAGUCGAGCGAACGGACGAGAAGCUUGCUUUUCUGAUGUUAGCGGCGGACGGGUGAGUAACACGUGGAUAACCUACCUAUAAGACUGGGAUAACUUCGGGAAACCGGAGCUAAUACCGGAUAAUAUUUUGAACCGCAUGGUUCAAAAGUGAAAGACGGUCUUGCUGUCACUUAUAGAUGGAUCCGCGCUGCAUUAGCUAGUUGGUAAGGUAACGGCUUACCAAGGCAACGAUGCAUAGCCGACCUGAGAGGGGGAUAGGCCACACUGGAACGGAGAAACGGUCCAGACUCCUACGGGAGGCAGCAGUAGGGAAUCUUCCGCAAUGGGCGAAAGCCUGACGGAGCAACGCCGCGUGAGUGAUGAAGGUCUUCGGAUCGUAAAACUCUGUUAUUAGGGAAGAACAUAUGUGUAAGUAACUGUGCACAUCUUGACGGUACCUAAUCAGAAAGCCACGGCUAACUACGUG